rnacentral:rRNA from 1 species
UACGUAGGGGGCUAGCGUUGUCCGGAAUCAUUGGGCGUAAAGAGCGUGUAGGCGGUCCGGUAAGUCCGCUGUGAAAGUCGGGGGGCUCAACCCUCGAAUGCCGGUGGAUACUGUCGGGCUAGAGUGCGGGAGAGGCGAGUGGAAUUCCUGGUGUAGCGGUGAAAUGCGCAGAUAUCAGGAGGAACACCAAUUGCGAAGGCAGCUCGCUGGAACGUAACUGACGCUGAGAACGCGAAAGCGUGGGGAGCGAACAGG